AAACAGCCAAGUUAAGAAGAGACUGACAAACCAAGGCAUGAAACAGAAUGUCAACAUCGAUGAAAGAACAUUGCUUCAAGUUCCAAAUCACUCUGCUCCUUUCAUGGGAAAUACCAUUCCCUCCCACAUACCAAACAUUUUCUAUGACAUUCUCAACAACAUAUAAAAGGAAAGCAAAAGCAUAUGCUCACAAACACCACUAAUCAUACAUUUACUAGUAGACAGUAUUGAAAUUUCAAGUCAGGUUAUUUUCAUUGAUAUGUUCAAAAUAGACAGAGGCCACCUUUUCCAAU